rnacentral:rRNA from 1 species
GGAUGAGCCCGCGGCCUAUCAGCUUGUUGGUGGGGUGAUGGCCUACCAAGGCGACGACGGGUAGCCGGCCUGAGAGGGCGACCGGCCACACUGGGACUGAGACACGGCCCAGACUCCUACGGGAGGCAGCAGUGGGGAAUAUUGCACAAUGGGCGAAAGCCUGAUGCAGCGACGCCGCGUGAGGGAUGACGGCCUUCGGGUUGUAAACCUCUUUCAGCAGGGAAGAAGCGGAAGUGACGGUACCUGCAGAAGAAGCGCCGGCUAACUACGUGCCAGCAGCCGCGGUAAUACGUAGGGCGCAAGCGUUGUCCGGAAUUAUUGGGCGUAAAGAGCUCGUAGGCGGCUUGUCGCGUCGGAUGUGAAAGCCCGGGGCUUAACCCCGGGUCUGCAUUCGAUACGGGCAGGCUAGAGUGUGGUAGGGGAGAUCGGAAUUCCUGGUGUAGCGGUGAAAUGCGCAGAUAUCAGGAGGAACACCGGUGGCGAAGGCGGAUCUCUGGGCCAUUACUGACGCUGAGGAGCGAAAGCGUGGGGAGCGAACAGGAUUAGAUACCCUGGUAGUCCACGCCGUAAACGUUGGGAACUAGGUGUUGGCGACAUUCCACGUCGUCGGUGCCGCAGCUAACGCAUUAAGUUCCCCGC